GGCCUCGUAGCUCAGGUGGUUAGAGCACCGGACUCAUAAUCCGAGGGUCGAGGGUUCGAAUCCCUCCGGGGCCA
rnacentral:tRNA from 1 species